rnacentral:rRNA from 1 species
UACGAAGGGGGCUAGCGUUGCUCGGAAUCACUGGGCGUAAAGGGUGCGUAGGUGGCGCCAUAAGUCGGGUGUGAAAUCUCGGGGCUUAACUCCGAAACUGCCUUUGAUACUGAAGAUCUUGAGUUCGGGAGAGGUGAGUGGAACUGCGAGUGUAGAGGUGAAAUUCGUAGAUAUUCGCAAGAACACCAGUGGCGAAGGCGGACUCACUGGCCCGAGUACCGUGACGCUGAGGCACGAAAGCGUGGGGAA